rnacentral:rRNA from 1 species
GACGAACGCUGGCGGCGUGCUUAACACAUGCAAGUCGAGCGGAGCGGCGAACGGGUGAGUAACGCGUGAGUAACUGCCCCCCUCUCUGGGAUAACAGUUGGAAACGGCUGCUAAUACCGGAUAGUGGGGGAUGACUCGCGUCCUAUCAGCUUGUUGGGGGGGUAGUGGCCUACCAAGGCGACGACGGGUAGCCGGCCUGAGAGGGCGACCGGCCACAUUGGGCUGAGAUACGGCCCAAACUCCUACGGGAGGCAGCAGUGGGUAAUAUUGCACAAUGGGGGAAACCCUGAUGCAGCAACGCGAGUGCGGGAGGACGGCCUUCGGGUUGUAAACCGCGUUCAGUCAGGAGGCGGGAGUGGCAGAAGUAGCACCGGGUAACUACGAGCCAGCAGCCGCGGUAAUUC